CAAAAAGCCAAAAUAAAUGGGUGCGGAGAAGCAUUCAGAAGUAUAAUGAUAAAGGAGAUACUGAGGAAUCUAGUUCCGUUAUUAUCGAGAAAAAGAGCAAGAGGCAGGGAGUCAUCUCAUACUUCUUGAUGAAGGCGACACAAAGCAAGUGGUGGAAGAAGCUUUCAGAA